GACGGAACUGUCUUUGAUUCAAGUUUUUGAGAGAGGUGACCCUAUUGAGUUGGCUGAUUUAGACAAGACUUGGCUGAGUUUGAUGUCAAGAAGGCCCUUGAAAUCGAUCCCAACAACAGGGAAGUGAAGCUGGAGCAGAGAAAGUUGAAGGAGAGAAUGAAGGAGUUCAACAAAAAGGAUGCCAAGUUUUACGGAAACAUGUUUGCAAAACUAACUAAGGAAUCAUCAAAAGAUGGAGAGCCCAUGAACACCUAGAGUCUUG